rnacentral:lncRNA from 1 species
GUGCCCAAUCCGGCCGAGGAGCGUUACCAUGGCAACCGUGCCGCGGAGGCCUUGAGAGGCCACACGCCCUAUGUUGGUCUGCGAGAAAUCAAACUUCGAACAGGACAAGCCCGAAGCCCGCUUCUCCGGGAGACGGGGUGCCACAAUUGCAAGGACCCUUGCUCCACAGAAUUCUUUGCCUGGAAUUUUCUUCCCAGAAUCUUUGCAUGUCAUUCCCUCUGUUGCUGAGUUACCGGGAUCUCAAUGUAAACGUUACGUACUGACAGAGGCUGCUGUGAACUGAAUUGCGUGCUUCCCAAAAUUCAUAUGUUGAUACUGUCACCCCCGGUACCUAAGGAUGUGACUACAUUUGGAGAUAGCAUCAUCAAAGAGGCAUGGAAUCCCAGGGAGCAUCCUGCACUCUCAGUGUCCAGCUGUCUGAGGCCACACUUGUUUCUGAUGAUAGAGAACAAUUGCUUUUUUCUGAGAGACUUAGCACUCCAUGGCUGAGGAGUUCUGCAAUAAAAUGCCUGCUUUCUCCACCAGAUGGUAUUCACAAAAAUAGCUCACAUUAUGUUUUGCUUGUUUGCAAGUCAACAAGAUGAGGUCACCGAAAAGGUCUAACUGAUUCUGUCUGCUCAGGAAUGUUUCAGGCUUGGUCUCCCUUUUAAUUUACCUCGUAAAUCAUUUUGUAAUUUUUAUCUCCUACCCAUUCUGUAACUUGUUAAUUACUUUUAUACACAUGUAAUAUCUUUUAUGUGUGAUUUCUAAGUAUAUUACUAGUGAACAUUGACUGUUACAAGGCAUACCUUGUCUUAUUGCAAUUUAUUGUGCUUCCCAAGUGUUGGAUUUCUUACAAAUUGAGGGGUUUUGGCAACCUUACCUUCAGUGACUCUGUCAACAAUAUUUUUUCCAACACCAUGUGAUCUGUGUGUGUGUGUGUAUCUUUGUCAGCAUUUUUAUCAAUAAAGUACAUUUUUUAUUAAGGU